UACGUAGGGCGCGAGCGUUGUCCGGAAUUAUUGGGCGUAAAGAGCUCGUAGGCGGCCUGUUGCGUCCGCUGUGAAAUCCCAGGGCUCAACCCUGGGCGUGCAGUGGAUACGGGCAGGCUGGAGGCAGGCAGGGGAGAAUGGAAUUCCCGGUGUAGCGGUGAAAUGCGCAGAUAUCGGGAGGAACACCGGUGGCGAAGGCGGUUCUCUGGGCCUGUACUGACGCUGAGGAGCGAAAGCGUGGGGAGCGAACAGG
rnacentral:rRNA from 1 species